UUUCAAAAAUUCCAUUUAAUUGUUAAUGAAUUUUCUCCUCAAAUCUAACGCCUCUUACCCCACCCCUCUCUCUCUUCGUAUCUGUUACAGUUCACAUGGCUUCCCUGCCAUCUUUCCUCUUCCGAGCAUAAUGGCACAAUGACUCUCACAAAAUUAGGCAAAGAUCUCGCUGUUUUCGGGAAGAAUACAAGGCAAAUCUUUUUUGAAUCUUGCCUCUCUGAUUCUUCCUCUUUUCUUUUGCCUCUACCAACGUUCAAAUUUCAAAAGGGUUAGAGUUGAGUCUUCUUUUGUCCGAGAGGAAGGAGUAAGGUCGAGAUCGAAGUUCGAUAGCACAUCUAAGACCCGCCUCAGUUCGCUGCCCUGCAAAAGGUUUGUAUCUUCCCCUCUCGCUCUCAUUUUGAUUUUGAUUAGGGUACGUUUGAUGCCUGGUGUGUAUUUGCUGGAGGACUGUUAGUUUCUAUUAAGCUUUUAUAUUUGGUGCUAUAAAAAUAGCUCUAAUAAAUGUUUGUUUAAGGUAAUGAUCUAUGACUAAAGUUGUUAGCAAUAAUCCUUUAAGGAGAUCAUGUUCUGGUAUGUAGUGUUAGAAGUAUGCUUGACUGAUAUUUGAUGAAAUGCUCACAUGAAAAUACCUAUCUCCUUUUGAAUACUUUUCUAUUAGAUGCCAUGAUUUUAAGAAGGAUUUUUUCCAUGAGCUAGUCGCCUUGCAAAAGAUUAAUUUGCUAUUGUGAUUUAGCACCUUUGCGCCUAAACAUCAUGCUUAGGAUUCCGAACAACUUGUUUAAGAAUAGAUUUAUCUAAAUGCAUACUGUUAAGCUAGGACUUGAUAUGCUUUAGCCAAAGUUAUGAACUUAUUGCUAUUAGUUAUCCAAAAUUCUUUUCUUUAGGAAACAAAUAUGGCUGAAAUUUCAUAAAAUAAUAUGACACUAUGACCUCUUUUCAUAUCUUGAUCUUGAUACAUUGUUAAAAAUCAAGUUCCACUUAGUAAUCCUUCUUAUCCUUGCAUAUAUUAAUUAAACUCUUAAGUUAUUUUGCUAACGGUUUAUUUUUCUCUUUCUUUAUAUGUACACUUUGGAGCACAUGGAGUCUUAAUUCGAGACCCUUGCAAUGGAGUCUCAAAAUGAGACUUGACGCCACUAUCCGAGCACGGAGUCAUCACAUACCAUAUUCCUUAGAUGCACCAAAUAGCAAGAAAACAAGCGAAACGCUUGGGGGCGCCUAUGGCGUUCUUCUUCUUUUAAUUCUUUUCCCAUUCGUUUUAUCUAACUUUUGUGAUUGUUAAUUUGCCUGUGCAUUUGGGGUUUAUCUCAAGUUUAAAUUUAAUUAUUUAGGCUUUUUGCUAUAUCACAGAGGAUAUGGUAAUUAGAAUAAGGUCUAAAAUCGGUAAUCUAAUAACUUUUUUUAUUUGCCACUAGUGUAUUCAAUUUUUAGUAAGCUUAAUAUUAUACUUCA